UACGAAGGGGGCUAGCGUUGCUCGGAAUCACUGGGCGUAAAGCGCACGUAGGCGGAUUGCUAAGUCAGGGGUGAAAUCCUGGAGCUCAACUCCAGAACUGCCUUUGAUACUGGCGACCUUGAGUCCGGGAGAGGUGAGUGGAACUGCGAGUGUAGAGGUGAAAUUCGUAGAUAUUCGCAAGAACACCAGUGGCGAAGGCGGCUCACUGGCCCGGUGCUGACGCUGAGGUGCGAAAGCGUGGGGAGCAAACAGG
rnacentral:rRNA from 1 species